GACGAACGCUGGCGGCGUGCUUAACACAUGCAAGUCGAACGGAAAGGCCCUGCUUGCAGGGUACUCUCGUGGCGAACGGGUGAGUAACACGUGGGUGUUCUGCCCUGCACUUCGGGAUAAGCCUGGGAAACUGGGUCUAAUACCGCAUAGGAGCCAUUUUUAGUGUGAUGGUUGGAAAGUUUUUUCGGUGUGGGAUGAGCUCGCGGCCUAUCUGCUUGUUGGUGGGGUAAUGGCCUACCAAGGCGGCGACGGGUAGCCGGCCUGGGAGGGUGGACGGCCACAAUGGGACUGAGGUACGGCCCAGACUCCGACGGGAGGCAGCAGGGGGGAAUAUUGCACAAUGGGCGCAAGCCUGAUGCAGCGACGCCGCGGGGGGGAAGACGGCCUUCGGGUUGGAAACUCCUUUCGCUAGGGACGAAGCUUUUUGUGACGGUACCUAGAAAAGAAGCACCGGCUAACUACGUG
rnacentral:rRNA from 1 species